UUUUUUUUUUUUUUAGAUUUUGUCCCCAACACAUCUGAUGAUGAGGGCCGGUACAGUAUAGGGGCUCAGGCAAAUGUGGGCCUCUUCAAUCUACAGAAACUUCUAGAAGCUCUGAAACCACUGCUGACCUCAGAUCAGCUGUCACAGUGUCGGCAAACACUGAGAGAAUAUUCCCAAACCUACCAGCAAAGAUUCCAUGAACUAUUCAAAGCAAAGUUAGGCUUUCUAGGAAAUCAAGAAACGGAUUCAUAUGUGAUUGCAUUUCUUCUAAAGGUAAAUAUUAGCUGUGUGUGUGUGGGAGAGAGAGACAUCCAAUCACCAAGACAUUCCAAAUCACCAAAUCUAUCAAAUAAAAUUCAACCAGAUAUUUUCAAUGAGAAUUAAAUCAGGAGGCUGAACAGGCCACUCAAGAACAUUCUAUGACUGAUCCCUGAACCAAGCAGAAGUAGAUUUGGAUGUGUACUUUGUGAUGACUGUCCUGCAGGAAAGUCCAUUGAUCAUCAGCUUCAGUCUUUGCACCAAAGGCAUCACAAUUCUUGUCAAAAUGGCCUGAUACUUCAAAGAAUCCAUGAUGUCCUUCAUACAUGAUUUCCACUUCCUGCUGCAGUAAAGCAACCCCAUAACAGCACUGAUCCACCUCCAAGUUUGACGAUGGAGAUGGUGUUCUUCUGCUUAUGAGCUUUGUGUCUUUUGCAGCAGACAUACCGCUGAUCCAUGGGUCCAAAAAGUUCCAGUUUGGUCACAUCACUCCAUAAAACAUUCUUCCAGAGCUCCACAGGUCUACACAAAUGAAUUUUAGCAAGUUCAAGUCUGCCUUUUGUUCUUCUUGAUCAAGAGUGGUAUACAGCAAGAUGUCUCAACAUGAAGGCCAUACUUGUCUAGUGUUCUUCUUACACACUGCAUUGAAAUAGUUUUCCUUCUUUCAUCGGGUCAUCUUGCAAGUCUUUAGCUGUACAUUGCAGGUUUUUCUCAGUUGCUCUGAUUAAACAUUUUAUGAUAUUGUGCUUUUUCUUCAACACCCUCAAAGGUUUUCUGGUACAACACACUUUAAGCUAAGGAAUAAGGCUGAGAGCUGUGUCUCUGGGAACUUUUAAUGUCUUGGAAAUCUUCAUAUAGCCUUAGCCAUUUUAAAGAAAUAAAAUAUUUAUUCUCUUUAGCUUUUGUGAGAUC
ensembl:lncRNA